UUAGGUUAAGUUAUGAAGGGCGCAUGGUGAAUGCCUUGGUACUAGGAGCCGAUGAAGGACGGGACUAACACCGAUAUGCUUCGGGGAGCGGUAAGUACGCUUUGAUCCGGAGAUUUCCGAAUGGGGCAACCCAAUCAGCUUAGUCGCUGAUUACUUGACUAGUGAAUACAUAGCUAGCAAGAGGUAGACGCAGUGAACUGAAACAUCUUAGUAGCUGCAGGAAGAGAAAGAAACAUCGAUUCCCUGAGUAGCGGCGAGCGAAAAGGGAAGAGCCCAAACCAACAAGCUUGCUUGUUGGGGUUGUAGGACUG
rnacentral:rRNA from 1 species